AGGGUUUGAUCAUGGCUCAGAAUGAACGCUGGCGGCACGCUUAACACAUGCAAGUCGAACGAGAUCUUCGGAUCUAGUGGCAGACGGGUGAGUAACGCGUGGGAACCUGCCCAGUAGUAGAGGACAACUUGGGGAAACUUAAGCUAAUACUUUAUACGUCCUUCGGGAGAAAGCUUUAUGCGCUAUUGGAUGGGCCCGCGUUAGAUUAGUUUGUUGGUGAGGUAAUGGCUCACCAAGACUACGAUCUAUAGCUGGUCUGAGAGGAUGAUCAGCCACACUGGGACUGAGACACGGCCCAGACUCCUACGGGAGGCAGCAGUGGGGAAUAUUGGACAAUGGGGGCAACCCUGAUCCAGCGAUGCCGCGUGAGUGAUGAAGGCCCUAGGGUUGUAAAACUCUUUCGUCAGGGAAGAUAAUGACGGUACCUGAAGAAGAAGAUCCGGCUAACUCCGUGCCAGCCGCCGCGGUAAUA
rnacentral:rRNA from 1 species